rnacentral:rRNA from 1 species
UCAUUGGGUUUAAAGGGUCCGUAGGUGGAUAAUUAAGUCAGAGGUGAAAUCUUGCAGCUCAACUGUAAAAUUGCCUUUGAUACUGGUUAUCUUGAGUUAUUAUGAAGUAGUUAGAAUAUGUAGUGUAGCGGUGAAAUGCAUAGAUAUUACAUAGAAUACCAAUUGCGAAGGCAGAUUACUAAUAAUCAACUGACACUGAUGGACGAAAGCGUGGGUAGCGAACAGGAUUAGAUACCCUGGUAGUCCACGCAGUAAACGAUGAUCACUAGAUAUUUGCGACAUACUGUAAGUGUCUUAGCGAAAGCGAUAAGUGAUCCACCUGGGGAGUACGGUCGCAAGAUUGAAACUCAAAGGAAUUGACGGGGGCCCGCACAAGCGGUGGAGCAUGUGGUUUAAUUCGAUGAUACGCGAGGAACCUUACCAGGGCUUAAAUGUAGAUUGACAGUUUGAGAUAGCUAUUUCUUCGGACCACUUACAAGGUGCUGCAUGGUU